rnacentral:rRNA from 1 species
GGGAACCCCGUGGCAUAGUCGGGGGGAAUACGGGGGGUGCAAGCUUUAUCCGGAUUGACUGGGGUUAAAGGGUGCGUAGGCGGAAUUGUAAGUCCGUGGUGAAAUCUCCAAGCUUAACUUGGAAACUGCCGUGGAUACUAUAGUUCUUGAAUGUUGUGGAGGUUUGCGGAAUAUGUCAUGUAGCGGUGAAAUGCUUAGAUAUGACAUAGAACACCGAUUGCGAAGGCAGCAGGCUACACAAAUAUUGACGCUGAGGCACGAAAGCGUGGGGAUCAAACAGGAUUAGAUACCCGAGUAGUC